CUGGAUGUCUCUCGCAGUCAUACGGUAUAUAGAGUUCUAUGACUAGAGACACAUUCAGCU
rnacentral:pre_miRNA from 1 species